rnacentral:rRNA from 1 species
AUGCCAGAUUUCGUAGCUUGGAAUUUCACAAAAAAAGGGAUUUUUUCGGUUCGGUCUGCUUAUUUUGUGAAAUGGGACCACCAAUAUGGGAACAAGUUACGACAUACCAAUGGGACGGGACGUACCACGGUCAAUCCUAUUUGGGCGAGGAUUUGGAAACUUGCUUGUCCAGUAAAGGUUAAAAUAUUUAUUUGGCGUACACUUCAUGGCACUCUUCCGUGUCGUGUUAACUUAGCUAAUAGACAUGUGAAAGUCUCGCCUAAGUGUCCUGCCUGCUCAUCUGGGCCAGAAGACACAAAACAUCUGUUGUUUCUAUAUGACAGAGCAAAAGAAGUCUGGAGAAGACUAGGGAUGGACGAUAUUAUCGACAGAGCUUGUAAAAUAGACUAUGCGGGUGAGGCAAUCUUGGAAUAUUUACUUUCAUUACCAGAUCAGGAACUAGGUAUUAUGGGCACACGUAAUGUGCGUGACAUGAUUGUCAUAUCAGCCUGGUACUUGUGGUGGGAAAGACGCAAAUUGGUACACAAUAAGACUACUCUGAAUGCACAACAAAUAUCCAUGGGGAUACACGCUCUCACUGCCAAUUUUGUUAAUGCCUCCUCGCCGAAGGCUUCCAUGAAAAGAGGAGGAUGGUCUAGCCCCCGGACAGGAUUUGUUAAACUUAACGUUGAUGCUUUUUUUGACCACGACCUUCUCAGGGGUACGGUCGGGGCGGUCUUAAGAGAUGACAAAGAUAGGUUCAUCGGUGGGGGAAAUGGUAAGAUUGACUGGUGUGAAGAUGUGUUGAUGGCUGAAGCUUUGGCGUUAAAAUUUGGCCUAUCGCUUGCGCAAAGGACGGGUUGUAAUCGCAUAAUUAUUAACUCGGAUAAUAUGGAGAUGAUCGAGACCAUGAACGAAGGACGAUCGUCGGAGGCAGCAGUUGCAAUUUUUUAUGACUGUUUUUACUUAGCUUGCGAUUUUCCUAUUUCUAGAUUCGAGCAUUGUAAUAGAGAAGCAAAUAAAGUUGCUCAUGAACUUGCCAAGUUGGCUAGAUUUUUCUUCAUUUCUGAUUGGCUCGAGAAACCACAUAAUGCAAUUGUACCAAUCCACGUAAACGAUGUAAUGAUUAUUUCUAAUGAAUAA